AUUGAACGCUGGCGGCAGGCCUAACACAUGCAAGUCGAGCGGAUGAAGGGAGCUUGUUCCUGGAUUCAGCGGCGGACGGGUGAGUAAUGCCUAGGAAUCUGCCUGGUCGUGGGGGAUAACGUCCGGAACCGGGCGCUAAUACCGCAUACGUCCAGAGGGAGAAACUGGGGGAUCGUCGGACCUCUCGCUCUCAGAUGAGCCUAGGUCGGAUUAGCUAGUUGGUGGGGUAAGGGCCUACCAAGGCGACGAUCCGUAACUGGUCUGAGAGGAUGAUCAGUCACACUGGAACUGAGACACGGUCCAGACUCCUACGGGAGGCAGCAGUGGGGAAUAUUGGACAAUGGGCGAAAGCCUGAUCCAGCCAUGCCGCGUGUGUGAAGAAGGUCUUCGGAUUGUAAAGCACUUUAAGUUGGGAGGAAGGGCAGUAAGUUAAUACCUUGCUGUUUUGACGUUACCAACAGAAUAAGCACCGGCUAACUUCGUG
rnacentral:rRNA from 1 species